rnacentral:lncRNA from 1 species
CAGAAUUACUCAUUAUGAGAUCAUAAAAGAAAAGAAAAAGGUUUGAAAAGUGAUUAUGCCAUGAGAAUGAUAUGACUUGAGGAUGCAGGGGCAGCUUUCCUGAGAAAGUUGAAGUUAAGCCGAGCCAUUAAAAAUGCCUGGCUAAGCAAAGGAAUAGGGCUAGAAAUGAGGUAUCCCAAGAAAUCUGAAUAGAACUUAUAAAAUUCCAGAUGCUACAAACAACUAAGAGACUCAAGAAAUUUAAGCAAAGCUGAAAAACAGUGACUGAAACUCAAGAACAUUCUGGAGAGAAGAAUUCCAAGAAGUGAAAAAUCACUUUCUCCAGAAAGGAUUGGGAUGUGCUCCACCCUUUAUAGCAGUUACCUGUUACCAACCUGGACAGCCUGAGACAACAUGAAUAAGAUUCCAUCAAUUCUCAGAUGCUUUUCGGCUAGCCAUACUCUCAAGAAAAAUGUGUGUGCUUUUCUUAGCACGGAACACCAGCAAAAAGACUACAUCCAUCUCCUGCCAACUGGAUUGAUUCAUUUAUGACAAGAACUUAGAAUUCGAACAUUACCCCCGAUUGUUUUGGAAAUUAUUAAAAGAUUGUCAAUGGAAAGAUUUACAAAAACACUGGAGAAAAUGAGGGGCUAACACACUGCAAUUCUAGUGACAGAGCCCCUCAUGUUAAAGAGUGACCCUCCCAUUAUGUAAACAUUGUUGGAAAACAAUUAUAAAACAGGAUGCAUUGUAUAAGCUAAAGCUAAAACUCCAAAUGUUUCUAUUCCUUAUGCUGCUAAACAUCCUUCUUUUUAUUUUAACAUUUACUUAAUCACAAUUGUUGUACAGGGAAAUAAUUCUGCCUAAAAUCUGUUUCUAUGACAUGUUUCUGCAAGGCAGGUGUUUUGUUUUUGUUUUUGUUUUCCCUAAGUGUAUGUUUAAAAUGUAAUUUUCUCAUCCUGAAACUGUUUUACAGUUUGGUACAAGCAGCCUCUCUACUCAAUUUAUUCAGUUAUUCAGUAGGUGAAAUAAUUAUGGUGAGUCAAGGCAAUUGCUAGGAACAUAGCCUGUCUCCCAUCACUCCCUUCCACAUUUUCUAUGUGGCAACCACACAGUUCCCUAGACAAGUCACUACAGUUUUUUUUUUCUCUCUCUCUCUGUAAUCUUGUAACCAGACUUUUCUGUGCUAGAGAUCUUUUCUCUGACUUAUUUCCUCUCUUAUCUAAUCCCCCAAAAGCAUAAUGUCCAUUAUCCCCUGCACCUAAGACAGUGUUUGCCAUAAAGACAGUGCUCAAUAUUUAUUUAUUGAAAAAAAUAGCUAAAUGUUGAGGUCUACUUACUGGCUACAUAUACCCAAGAAAUUUAUUCAUGAUAUCAAAUCGUUUGGUGGUUGAACUGAAACUGUAUUCCAGCUCAUUUUUGUUGUCCUCUCUUUUUUGUAACGCAUUUGCUUAGUAGUGAUUAAUGUGUGAGCUGGUCUUCCACAGCUAAUUCAACACAAAAGUUUAUCUUUCUAUGAGAUAAAUGGAUACAAUGUAACAAAUUGAAAUAAUGGAAGAGAAAAAUGUCUUUAACUGAAAUAACCACUGAAAUAACAAACUAAUGUGGAGAUAAAAAAUAACACAAAAUUAAAUCAUUCUGAUAAUUUUUUCUUUAAAAAGCAAUAGAGGAUUUUUUUCCCUUGACAUAAUCUAAGAAUUUUUAGCAAAAGUCUUGCAAUAAAGGUAGUUUAUCCUGAAGAGAGUAGUAGAUAAGUGCUGUAAGUGGAUGUCAGGUUUUAAAACAUGUAAAAUGCCCCUAAAAGGUGUCAACUGUCACUCCAGAUACAAUGAACAUCUACACAUGUGAUUAUACAAUACAUAUAAGGGUAACAGAGUGUGUCUAUGUGGAAACACAGGUAUAUACAUACACGCUUUAUAUUCUGUGAGCCAAAACAACACAGUUCCCAAACUUACUACUGGUAACCUGUAUACCACCAACUUUCAUGUAGUUCCUUACAACAACUGAUAUAAUGCCUGAUUACUAGCAUAAAAUAUUAUUUGCUAUUCCCCCCUUCCCUACAAAAUUUAAAAACAAAUGUAGUAUGACUCAGGUUUAGUUUAAUAUUCACCAUAUUACUAAUUUGGUAAAGAAAAGGCCUUCACAAAAUAAAUUAUUAUACUUAUAAAUUGUUUCAGUGAAAGGACUUGCCUGAUUUCCCAUUGAUACUUUUGCUAAAAUACUGUGUGCAUCUGAGGUUAUACUUAGGACAGUAUUCCUGCAAGUAUUUCUAUUCAUGCUUUGGCACAUAUUAGUUUAAACCAUAUGAAACUGCAUUUUAAUGGACUAAAAUAGUCAAAUAUUGGCAAUUUCCCAUGGCUCAACAUAAUAGUAGUAGGCUCGGGUUUAGAAGGCACUUACAAUUUGAAUAAGGAAAUAAAUAAUUCUGAUUACUGAAUGAAGCUAAAGAACAAAUUUACACAAAGAAAAUAUAAUUUUCUAACUUAUAACCUUGCCAGGACUGCCAUUUUCCUUUGCAAAAUAAGUAUCAUAGGAUUUUUGUUAUCCCUGAUUAGAAUUUAAAUUACAUGUCUUAUGUACUACCCAGGUAGCAGAAUUGAGCAACAUUUUUCAUUUACAUUUUUCCAAUGAAAAUAUUUGGCUGUAGUCAGUCUGCUGUGUUGCAAAAUAGU